rnacentral:rRNA from 1 species
GACGGAGGAUGCAAGCGUUAUCCGGCAUGAUUGGGCGUAAAGCGUUCGCAGGCGGCUGUUCAAGUCUGCUGUCAAAGACCGGGGCUUAACCCUAGAAAGGCAGUGGAAACUGAACGGCUGGAGUGCAGUAGGGGUAGAGGGAAUUCCCAGUGUAGCGGUGACAUGCGUAGAGAUUGGGAAGAACACCGGUGGCGAAAGCGCUCUGCUGGACUGCAACUGACACUGAGGGACGAAAGCUAGGGGAGCGAAUGGG